rnacentral:misc_RNA from 1 species
GUCACUCAUCACGAAAUCUCCAAAACUAUAACACAUACAAACUUGAAAUUUGGCAAGUAGGCUCCUUAUAGGACGUAGACAUCCGCUAAGAACGGAUUUUGCGAAACUCAACCCCUAAAGGGGUAAAAUGGGGGUUGGAAGUUUGUAUGAGAGUCCCAUGUUUUUGACGUAAGAGACUUGAAAUUUAAAAUUUAAGCUCUAUAGAUAGAUGGUGAAAAGGUGUCUAAAUAAUGUAUCUUUAGAAAUCAACCCCUUUUUGGGUUAAAACGGGGGAUAGUAGGUUGACUCACUGAUCACGAAAUCUCCAAAACUAUAACACUUACAAACUUGAAAUUUAGCAGGUAGGCUCCUUAUAGAUCAUAGACAUCCGCUAAGAACGGAUUUUACGAAACUCGACCCCUAAGGGAGUAAAACGGGGGUUGGAAGUUUGUAUG